UCCUGUGGUAACCAAGAUACAAGCCUGAUUUUAUUUAUGUUACCACUGGCUCAGCCUUAGCAUGAUUUCAUACGGAAGCAGACCAUAUUAUGGAGCCAGCUAGAAGGAUAGGACCCUGCCUAUCCUUAUAAGAUCAAAGCAGGCAGAUUAUUGUGCAAGAAAAACUACUUCUUCAUCUGGCUGGGAAAAGAAGAGACAAGAGUUUUACUCACAGGGGACAGAUAUCAAAGGAAGAAACUCCUGGGUCUACCUGGGAAGGAGUGUGAUGAUUGAAAAGAAAGGCUGAAAUGCACCUCAGCUAACCUGAGGUUCCUGCAGUGGAAAUAUCUACAGCUGAGAUAAAUUUCCUGAACUCCUGCAAUAGUUAACAGAGAAAUAGGCACCAUGGGGCAAUUCAUCUCACCCCAAAGUGGGCAGCUGAAGUAGUUCAAGAAAAAGGAUAGGUCUUACAGAAGCAGAAGUUUGGAUCACUGUUCUCGACUGCAAAUGAGUUCCUUGAAGAUUUGCACUUCCCGGAGUGGGCACCCCCUCCUUGUCCCAGUAGGCGUAGCUACAAGGAAUUCAAACUGCUGUUAAGCAAAGUGAAUGCCCCAUCCACAUCUCCAUGGAAAUCUAGCUGGCUCAUCCCUUGCUAUGGGAACUGUAGCCUCAAAGUG